rnacentral:rRNA from 1 species
GACGUAGGGCGCGAGCGUUGUCCGGAUUUAUUGGGCGUAAAGAGCUCGUAGGUGGUUCGGUAAGUCGGGUGUUAAACCCCCAGGCUCAACCUGGGGACGCCACUCGAUACUGCUGUGACUAGAGUCCGGUAGGGGAGCGUGGAAUUCCUGGUGUAGCGGUGAAAUGCGCAGAUAUCAGGAGGAACACCGGUGGCGAAGGCGGCUCUCUGGACGGUGACUGACGCUGAGACGCGAAAGCGUGGGGAGCAAACAGG